rnacentral:rRNA from 1 species
GUGAACGCUGGCGGUAGGCCUAACACAUGCCAGUCGCACGGCAGCACAGUAAGAGCUUGCUCUUACGGGUGGCGAGUGGCGGACGGGUGAGGAAUACAUCGGAAUCUACUUUUUCGUGGGGGAUAACGUAGGGAAACUUACGCUAAUACCGCAUACGACCUACGGGUGAAAGCAGGGGAUCUUCGGACCUUGCGCGAUUGAAUGAGCCGAUGUCGGAUUAGCUAGUUGGCGGGGUAAAGGCCCACCAAGGCGACGAUCCGUAGCUGGUCUGAGAGGAUGAUCAGCCACACUGGAACUGAGACACGGUCCAGACUCCUACGGGAGGCAGCAGUGGGGAAUAUUGGACAAAGGGCGCAAGCCUGAUCCAGCCAUACCGCGUGGGUGAAGAAGGCCUUCGGGUUGUAAAGCCCUUUUGUUGGGAAAGAAAAGCAGCAGGUUAAUACCCCGCUGUUCUGACGGUACCCAAAGAAUAAGCACCGGCUAACUUCGUG